rnacentral:rRNA from 1 species
ACAACCUGCCCUUAGGUUGGGUAUAAACCCGGGAAACUGGGUAUAAUACCCGAUAGGUCUCGAUUGCUGGAAUGCAUCGAGAUUUAAAGCACCGGCGCCUAAGGAUGGGUCUGCGGCCUAUCAGGUAGUAGUGGGUGUAGCGUACCUACUAGCCUACGACGGGUACGGGUUGUGAGAGCAAGAGCCCGGAGAUGGAUUCUGAGACACGAAUCCAGGCCCUACGGGGUGCAGCAGGCGCGAAAACUUUACAAUGCUGGCAACAGCGAUAAGGGAACCUCGAGUGCCAGGUUACAAAUCUGGCUGUCGAGAUGCCUAAAAAGCAUUUCAUAGCAAGGGCCGGGCAAGACCGGUGCCAGCCGCCGCGGUAACACCGGCGGCUCGAGUGGUAACCGUUAUUAUUGGGUCUAAAGGGUCUGUAGCCGGCCGGAUAAGUCUCUUGAGAAAUCUGGCAGCUUAACUGUCAGGCUUUCAGGAGAUACUGUCUGGCUCGAGGCCGGGAGAGGUGAGAGGUACUUCAGGGGUAGGGGUGAAAUCUUGUAAUCCUUGAAGGACCACCAGUGGCGAAGGCGUCUCACCAGAACGGACCUGACGGCAAGGGACGAAAGCUAGGGGCACGAACCGGAUUAGAUACCCGGGCAGUCCUAGCCGUAAACGAUACUCGCUAGGUGUCGGCCACGGUGCGACCGUUGUCGGUGCCGUAGGGAAGCCGUGAAGCGAGCCACCUGGGAAGUACGGCCGCAAGGCUGAAACUUAAAGGAAUUGGCGGGGGAGCACCACAACGGGUGGAGCUUGCGGUUUAAUUGGAUUCAACGCCGGAAAUCUUACCGGGACCGACAGCAAUAUGAAGGCCAGGCUGAAGACUUUGCCGGAUUAGCUGAGAGGUGGUGCAUGGCCGUCGUCAGUUCGUACUGUGAAGCAUCCUGUUAAGUCAGGCAACGAGCGAGACCCACGCCCACAGUUGCCAGCGUACUCUCUGGAGUGACGGGUACACUGUGGGGACCGCCGCUGCUAAAGCGGAGGAAGGAAUGGGCAACGGUAGGUCAGUAUGCCCCGAAUAUCCCGGGCUACACGCGAGCUACAAUGGUUGGUACAAUGGGUAUCUACCCCGAAAGGGGACGGGAAUCUCCUAAAACCAAUCUUAGUUCGGAUUGAGGGCUGCAACUCGCCCUCAUGAAGCUGGAAUCCGUAGUAAUCGCGUUUCAACAGAACGCGGUGAAUACGUCCCUG